rnacentral:rRNA from 1 species
UACGAAGGGUGCAAACGUUGCUCGGAAUCAUUGGGCGUAAAGCGCACGUAGGCGGCUUCGCAAGUCGGAUGUGAAAUACCUAGGCUCAACCAAGGACGUGCAUCCGAAACUGCGAGGCUUGAGUACAGAAGAGGAUCGCGGAAUUCCCGGUGUAGAGGUGAAAUUCGUAGAUAUCGGGAGGAACACCAGUGGCGAAGGCGGCGAUCUGGGCUGAUACUGACGCUGAGGAGCGAAAGCGUGGGGAGCAAACAGG